rnacentral:lncRNA from 1 species
CCAAGGCAAUGUGGUAUGGCACAGGGGAGUGGCAGAGGAAAAGCAGCUCAUGGCAUGGUGGCCAGGAAGCAGAGAGAUCAAGAGAUGAGCCUGGGAGGGAGAUAGACCCUUCCAGGCCACACCCCCAGUGAUCGUUCUCUUCUGACCAGACCCUACCUCCUAAUAGCAAGUCACCUGCAAACACCCAUAAUCCAAUCACCUCAAGAGGUCAGAAGGCCGGACUCAAUUUUCUAGUCAAGACAGAAGACUGGAAACCAGUGCCCACUGACGGUGCAAUAAAGAAGCAGCAAUUUCUUCGGAGUCCUGGAUUCUUUUAUUGGAGAAUAAUAUUUGGAAACUGAGAUCUUGGUGCUCACUGCUAUUGAGAUUAUAGCUACUCACUUCCAUCAAAUAGAGCAACACAUGUGCAGGAAUAAAGAUCAUUCCCUGAAGUAAACCCUUCCUCCCACUCCAGCAGACUUCCCCUCAUAUAUCUUUGGUCAGAAAUGGAUCAUAUAACUACAGAAGAGCUAGGAACGACAACCUAAAAAGGAAAAAGAGAGCUAGCAACCAACAAUGUUGGCAACCACAUUCAUGAAGGAAG